rnacentral:rRNA from 1 species
AUGGAACGAGCCCUGUUCUGGGCUUCCACGUUCACGAUCCUCGGGAAUGGGCUGUCCGCCCUGCUCUAUGAGGACCGGUGGAUCGGCGGCCAAUCCGUGCGUGAGCUCAUGCCUAAUCUCUACGGCUGCAUACCCAAGCGACGACGGACAACGAGAAUUGUGGCGUAUGGGCUCAAUGGUAACUCCUGGGCAAGAGACAUCCAAGGAAACCCCGGUCUCCACGAGAUUGGUCAGUAUCUGCAACUCUGGCAGAUCAUGCAGCGCACCGAGCUUUCCACCGCACCGGACAAAUUGAUCUGGCGUUGGACGGCGAGCGGCAACUACUCUGCGCAGUCCUGUUACACGGCGACCUUCCAUGGAGCAACGGCCUGCCACUCACGGAAGCUGAUCUGGAAAUGCUGGGCGCCGCCGCGAGUCAAGUUCUUCCACUGGUUGGCCAACCAGGACCGAUGCUGGACGGCUGAGAGGCUGGCUCGCCAUGGCCUCCAGCAUCACCCCCGCUGCCUCCUAUGUGACCAGCAGCCGGAAACGGCGCCUCAUGCUGGAAUGCCCCCUCGCCCGUCAGGCAUGGCACGAGACCCUGGCCUGGCUACGCAUCCCGGCCCCGAUCCCCUCGCAGGAGCCAUCGCUUACGGACUGGUGGAGACAGGCCAACGAAGACACGCCGCCGACCCUGCGCAAGGCCCUGAAAUCUGUUGCGUUGCUCGUACCAUGGAUGGUCUGGAAGCACCGAAACAGCUGCGUCUUUGA